CCUACGGGAGGCAGCAGUGAGGAAUAUUGGUCAAUGGACGAGAGUCUGAACCAGCCAAGUAGCGUGAAGGAUGACUGCCCUAUGGGUUGUAAACUUCUUUUAUAAAGGAAUAAAACGAGGCACGUGUGCCUUUUUGCAUGUACUUUAUGAAUAAGGAUCGGCUAACUCCGUGCCAGCAGCCGCGGUAAUACGGAGGAUCCGAGCGUUAUCCGGAUUUAUUGGGUUUAAAGGGAGCGUAGAUGGGUUGUUAAGUCAGUUGUGAAAGUUUGCGGCUCAACCGUAAAAUUGCAAUUGAUACUGGCAGUCUUGAGUACAGUUGAGGUAGGCGGAAUGCGUGGGGUAGCGGUGAAAUGCUUAGAUAUCACGAAGAACCCCGAUUGCGAAGGCAGCUUACGAAACUGUGACUGACAUUGAUGCACGAAAGUGUGGGUAUCAAACAGGAUUAGAUACCCUUGUAGUC
rnacentral:rRNA from 1 species